UGUGCUAAAAUGAGGGGUUUUCCCUUGGGU
rnacentral:piRNA from 1 species